rnacentral:rRNA from 1 species
UUCCAGACUCCUACGGGAGGCAGCAGUGGGGAAUAUUGCACAAUGGGGGAAACCCUGAUGCAGCGACGCCGCGUGAGUGAAGAAGUAUUUCGGUAUGUAAAGCUCUAUCAGCAGGGAAGAAAAUGACGGUACCUGACUAAGAAGCCCCGGCUAACUACGUGCCAGCAGCCGCGGUAAUACGUAGGGGGCAAGCGUUAUCCGGAUUUACUGGGUGUAAAGGGAGCGUAGACGGCAUGGCAAGUCAGAUGUGAAAGCCCGGGGCUCAACCCCGGGACUGCAUUUGAAACUGUCAGGCUGGAGUGCAGGAGAGGUAAGUGGAAUUCCUAGUGUAGCGGUGAAAUGCGUAGAUAUUAGGAGGAACACCAGUGGCGAAGGCGGCCUGCUGGACGAUGACUGACGUUGAGGCUCGAAAGCGUGGGGAGCAAACAGGAUUAGAUACCCGCGUA